AUUGAACGCUGGCGGCAUGCCUUACACAUGCAAGUCGAACGGCGUCGCGGGAAAGCUUGCUUUCCUGGCGGCGAGUGGCGAACGGGUGAGUAACACAUCGGAACGUACCGGCUAGUGGGGGAUAACCCGUCGAAAGACGGGCUAAUACCGCAUACGCUCUUCGGAGGAAAGCAGGGGACCUUUGGGCCUUGCGCUAGCCGAGCGGCCGACGUCCGAUUAGCUAGUUGGUGGGGUAAAGGCCUACCAAGGCGACGAUCGGUAGCGGGUCUGAGAGGACGAUCCGCCACACUGGGACUGAGACACGGCCCAGACUCCUACGGGAGGCAGCAGUGGGGAAUCUUGGACAAUGGGGGCAACCCUGAUCCAGCAAUGCCGCGUGGGUGAAGAAGGCCUUCGGGUUGUAAAGCCCGUUCGGCAGGGAAGAAAUCGGCGGGGCGAAUAACCCUGCUGGAUGACGGUACCUGCAGAAGAAGCACCGGCUAACUACGUG
rnacentral:rRNA from 1 species